UGCAGUCGAGCGGAUGAAGGGAGCUUGCUCCCUGAUUUAGCGGCGGACGGGUGAGUAAUGCCUAGGAAUCUGCCUGGUAGUGGGGGAUAACGUUCCGAAAGGAACGCUAAUACCGCAUACGUCCUACGGGAGAAAGCAGGGGACCUUCGGGCCUUGCGCUAUCAGAUGAGCCUAGAUCGGAUUAGCUAGUUGGUGAGGUAAUGGCUCACCAAGGCGACGAUCCGUAACUGGUCUGAGAGGAUGAUCAGUCACACUGGAACUGAGACACGGUCCAGACUCCUACGGGAGGCAGCAGUGGGGAAUAUUGGACAAUGGGCGAAAGCCUGAUCCAGCCAUGCCGCGUGUGUGAAGAAGGUCUUCGGAUUGUAAAGCACUUUAGGUUGGGAGGAAGGGCAGUAAGCUAAUACCUUGCUGUUUUGACGUUACCGACAGAAUAAGCACCGGCUAACUUCGUGCCAGCAGCCGCGGUAAUACGAAGGGUGCAAGCGUUAAUCGGAAUUACUGGGCGUAAAGCGCGCGUA
rnacentral:rRNA from 1 species